UUAGAUAAGUCUGAAGUUAAAGGCUGUGGCUUAACCAUAGUACGCUUUGGAAACUGUUUAACUUGANUGCAGAAGGGGAGAGUGGAAUUCCAUGUGUAGCGGUGAAAUGCGUAGAUAUAUGGAGGAACACCGGUGGCGUAAGCGGCUCUCUGGUCUGUAACUGACGCUGAGGCUCGAAAGCGUGGGGAGCGAACAGGAUUAGAUACCCUGGUAGUCCACGCCGUAAACGAUGAGUGCUAGGUGUUAGGCCCUUUCCGGGGCUUAGUGCCGCAGCUAACGCAUUAAGCACUCCGCCUGGGGAGUACGACCGCAAGGUUGAAACUCAAAGGAAUUGACGGGGGCCCGCACAGGCGGUGGAGCAUGUGGUUUAAUUCGAAGCAACGCGAAGAACCUUACCAGGUCUUGACAUCCCGAUGCCCGCUCUAGAGAUAGAGUUUUACUUCGGUACAUCGGUGACAGGUGGUGCAUGGUUGUCGUCAGCUCGUGUCGUGAGAUGUUGGGUUAAGUCCCGCAACGAGCGCAACCCUUAUUGUUAGUUGCCAUCAUUCAGUUGGGCACUCUAGCGAGACUGCCGGUAAUAAACCGGAGGAAGGUGGGGAUGACGUCAAAUCAUCAUGCCCCUUAUGACCUGGGCUACACACGUGCUACAAUGGCUGGUACAACGAGUCUCAAGUCGGUGACGGCAAGCUAAUCUCUUAAAGCCAGUCUCAGUUCGGAUUGUAGGCUGCAACUCGCCUACAUGAAGUCGGAAUCGCUAGUAAUCGCGGAUCAGCACGCCGCGGUGAAUACGUUCCCGGGCCUUGUACACACCGCCCGUCACACCACGAGAGUUUGUAACACCCGAAGUCGGUGAGGUANCCUUUUAGGA
rnacentral:rRNA from 1 species